UUUAAGUGAAGCCAUAAGUUUCCGCUCCCAAUUUUAAUCAUUCGACUUAUUUGAAAAAUUUUUUUAUAAUUAGUAUUUUUGUUGUUAUGAAAUGAUAAAGUAUAAAUAGUACUUUACUCCUAACUUAUGUUUUUAAUUUUUUUCAAAAGUUUUUAAAUAAAAUGGACGGUUAAAAUUGGGCGCGAAAAAACCAAAACUGUAUUUAAA
rfam:Oryza nivara chromosome 1, whole genome shotgun sequence.